CCCCCAGACUCCUACGGGAGGCAGCAGUGGGGAAUAUUGGGCAAUGGGCGCAAGCCUGACCCAGCAACGCCGCGUGAAGGAAGAAGGCUUUCGGGUUGUAAACUUCUUUUCUCAGGGACGAAGAAAGUGACGGUACCUGAGGAAUAAGCCGCGGCUAACUACGUGCCAGCAGCCGCGGUAAUACGCAGGCGGCAAGCGUUAUCCGGAUUUAUUGGGUGUAAAGGGCGUGUAGGCGGGAGCGCAAGACUGAUGUGAAAACUCAGGGCGCAACCCUGAGCCUGCAUUUGAAACUGUGUUUCUUGAGUGCUGGAGAGGCAAUCGGAAUUCCGUGUGUAGCGGUGAAAUGCGUAGAUAUACGGAGGAACACCAGUGGCGAAGGCGGAUUGCUGGGCAGUAACUGACGCUGAGGCGCGAAAGCGUGGGGAGCAAACAGGAUUAGAUACCCGCGUAAG
rnacentral:rRNA from 1 species